rnacentral:tRNA from 1 species
GGAGAAGUGCGAGAGUGGUUGAAUCGGACGGUCUCGAAAACCGUUGAAGGAUUACUCCUUCCGAGGGUUCGAAUCCCUCUUUCUCCG